GCAUAUCAAUAAGCGGAGGAAAAGAAACCAACAGGGAUUGCCCCAGUAACGGCGAGUGAAGCGGCAACAGCUCAAAUUUGAAAUCUGGCCCUCGGGUCCGAAUUGUAAUUUGUAGAGGAUACUUUUGGCGAGGUGCCUUCCGAGUUCCCUGGAACGGGACGCCAUAGAGGGUGAGAGCCCCGUCUGGUCGGAUACCAAGCCUCUGUAAAGUUCCUUCGACGAGUCGAGUAGUUUGGGAAUGCUGCUCAAAAUGGGAGGUAUAUGUCUUCUAAAGCUAAAUAUUGGCCAGAGACCGAUAGCGCACAAGUAGAGUGAUCGAAAGAUGAAAAGCACUUUGAAAAGAGGGUUAAAAAGUACGUGAAAUUGUUGAAAGGGAAGCGCCUAUGACCAGACUUGGGCCCGGUGAAUCAUCCAGCGUUCUCGCUGGUGCACUUUGCCGGGCACAGGCCAGCAUCAGUUUGGCGCGGGGGAUAAAGGCUUUGGGAAUGUGGCUCCCUCGGGAGUGUUAUAGCCCAUUGCGUAAUACCCUGCGCCGGACUGAGGUACGCGCAUUGCAAGGAUGCUGGCGUAAUGGUCAUCAGCGACCCCUCUUGAACA
rnacentral:rRNA from 1 species